UACGGAGGGAGCUAGCGUUGUUCGGAUAUACUGGGCGUAAAGCGCACGUAGGCGGCGCGGUAAGUCAGGGGUGAAAUCCCGGGAGCUCAACUCCGGAACUGCCCUUGAAACUGCAGUGCUAGGAAUCUUGGAGAGGCGAGUGGAAUUCCGAGUGUAGAGGUGAAAUUCGUAGAUAUUCGGAAGAACACCAGUGGCGAAGGCGACUCGCUGGACAAGUAUUGACGCUGAGGUGCGAAAGCGUGGGGAGGCAAACGGG
rnacentral:rRNA from 1 species